AUACUUACCUAGCAUGGAAAGACGACAGCCUCAUCAAGGAGGUGGUUUUCCUAGGGUGAGGCUCAUCUCCUGCAUUCCUAGAGUGCUGAUUUUUAAUUUUUCCAAAAGCAGGAAAUUCAGCUGCACCAUUUGUGGUUAACUGGGCCAUGUUCACUCUCUUCCCGU